GAUGAACGCUGGCGGCGUGCCUAAUACAUGCAAGUCGAACGCAUAGCGAAAGGUGCUUGCACCUUUCAAGUGAGUGGCGAACGGGUGAGUAACACGUGGACAACCUGCCUCAAGGCUGGGGAUAACAUUUGGAAACAGAUGCUAAUACCGAAUAAAACUUAGUGUCGCAUGACACAAAGUUAAAAGGCGCUUCGGCGUCACCUAGAGAUGGAUCCGCGGUGCAUUAGGUAGUUGGUGGGGUAAAGGCCUACCAAGACAAUGAUGCAUAGCCGAGUUGAGAGACUGAUCGGCCACAUUGGGACUGAGACACGGCCCAAACUCCUACGGGAGGCUGCAGUAGGGAAUCUUCCACAAUGGGCGAAAGCCUGAUGGAGCAACGCCGCGUGUGUGAUGAAGGCUUUCGGGUCGUAAAGCACUGUUGUAUGGGAAGAACAGCUAGAAUAGGAAAUGAUUUUAGUUUGACGGUACCAUACCAGAAAGGGACGGCUAAAUACGUG
rnacentral:rRNA from 1 species